AGCCAUGUUGAAACACCAGUUCUUGUAUGAUCACUGAAGUUAAACAAUGUCAAGCCUGAUCAGUAACUGGAUCGGUGACCACUUGGGAAUAUCAACAGCUGUAAG